rnacentral:lncRNA from 1 species
AAACAGAAUCUACGGCAGAAGUGGAGGACGCGGCAGCUGCCAGCUCCGGACACCGGGAGCUCCUCGUGCCGUCUCUGUGUUUCCUGCUGUUUCACUGAAAAAGGAGAGACAAACGGUGCUGACCUGGGCUCUGCGUCACUCGCUGUCGCUGGCUGCACGACCCGGCACCGGUCAGGGAGACCACUUUAGACCUUGAUUUAGACCCGUGAAGAUGAGAGACGAUCUACCCCACGGGACCCGUAAAGGUCACACACCAAAGGUCACUUUGGUCAAGCGUCGUAUGUGACCCUGGCAUGUGAUCAGGAGAUGUGAGCACUGGGAUUGUCGUGAAACUGGUGGGGAGGACCAGGACCCCACUACAUGACAGAGGGCAGCCGACUACCCGGGAUUCAGGACGGAUUCACGCUUGCUCUGUGGGCGGAACCACGCGUGGACAAUCCCACGUCCAUCAGAUUGUCAUCAUUAUGGCCAGUUGGUGCCUUUGGGGACACAUUGGGAUCUUCUGACUUGGAAUACAGCCACAGGGCAAACACCAGAGCCACUUCAGGGCCUUGGGGGCGUUUCGAUGAGAUGGGCCAUGACCCCUACCCCAGCGUCCCUGAAACCUGGUAGGAGGGCAUGCCAUGGCACCUGCGGGCACUGAGAUGUCUCAGGAAAAGGAACCCAUCUCCAUUCCCAAGGUUACCCCCGUGCCCUGGUUAUCCCGGUCUGACGCAGCCCAGUGGGACAACACACCUCUGUCCUUCCACCUGGAGUCUGGAGAAUUCCGUCCACCACAGCUCUGGCCCUCCGUUGUUCCGGCUGCUUCGUCUCAGACUCUGCGCGUCAUGGGGAAGCCUGCACCCAGGCAUGGAGCCUAUGCUUCCCCGCUCCCACGAGGCAGCGGCCGCUCGCUGCAGGGUCUGUGGGAGGGCGACGCUCUGCUCUUCAGGGUCUGUGUUCAAGUUGAAGGAUGGGCUCAUUCAGCUGCUCCCACUGACAGGAUGUCCCCCCGGAGUCACGAGUCACAGAGGGUCCUGCACUCCCUCGUGGUCAGGGUUUCCGUGGUCUCCCAUGUGCACUUGUGUCUUCUCUAGGGAAAGAAAUGACCCGCAUCCCAGGAAAAGGACAGAGGCCCAGCCAGCGCUCCUUGAGUCUUCCGGCCCGGGGCUGGCCCACAGGAGACGCCUCCCGAAUGAACACACAAGCGGUGAGCAGCUGAGCAUGUACAGGAGGGAGCACCAGGUUCCAGUGCGAGGAGAGUGAGGUUGACAAAAGAGGCCGCUUUUCCUAGUCCUGCUCAUAAACCACAGGCGGACGGACAGCUGCAGGAAGAAUUUUGCUUCUAGGCGUGAGCCGCAGGAGGGCGGAAUUCACACCGGGGUCAAAUUAAAGAAAAGGAAAGGCCAGCGAGGUGAGAAAUUACAAACGUGCCCUUUAAAAUGUGCACAAGAAAGAUUUUCUGCUGUGACAGCCACCAAACCCAGACAGCAUCUGUCUCUCUCUCAGGCCUGGUGGGUCCUUCUGCACCUCUGCCAUCCCAGGCGUGGCCCCCCAUGGUCUGGUAGGAAGGGCCGGCCACCAGUGGGUUGGGGUCCCACCAGGUGGAGGGAAGUGGCCACACACCCCUGACUUUCAGGGCCGACCAGAACCUGCUCACUCGUCCCCAGUCGGCCGCUGUCUUUACAAAGACCAGGCAAGGCCGAGCCCCUGCAGCAGGAGCCCCCGGGGGCAGCGGCUCAGACUAGAGAGGGGUCAGCUCUCGCGGGUGAACCUUCACAGGGGGCAGCCACGCCAUCCACCAGCCUGUCCAACCUUGGUCUCUGGUCCACCGGCUCCCUGCACCCCAUUCCUGCUUCUGCCCCAGAAGAGCAGAGACAAGAGGAGCCUGCGCUUCCUCCUAAGGAUGCAGGACGUGACCUGCAGGCGGAGAAGGAUGGAGUCGCUGGGAAAUGCAGCUCGCUGCCCGUGAGCCGUGGGCCCUGGGAUUGAAGGAAGAGGGAGGGAAGAUUCUGGAGGUCAGUUAGCAAUCUCUUCUUAGUAUCUACCGUCAUGGUUCUCAGUCCCACCAGAUACUUCCACAUCCACCACCCCAACCCGCAUCAUCCUGCACGUGGUCAUCCCAGCCCUGCAUGGUUCCCAAGGUGCCUCGGUUCAGCCCACCAGGCCGCACCAGCCUGGGCCUGACCCCCUUCUCUCCCGUUCCCCCUCUCCCCAGCUUUAUUGAGAUACAAUUCACACGCCGUACGGUUCGCCCAUUUAACGU